rnacentral:lncRNA from 1 species
ANAACAGAUUCACAAGAAAGGAUUAUGACGAUAUUUAAAAUGUUUAGCUAUCCAUUGGGAUUAGCAUGUAACUCAGCAGUGGCAAAACACAUUAGUGAAUCAAGACUUGGAACUGUAAGGACAUGAGACUUACACCUCGUAUUAAGUUGGCAAAUAACACUGGGAUGGGCUCUCUUGAGACUGAGAUAUUUGCCCUUGCUGAGUGUGGUGUUAUGGAUUUUGAUCACACAGCAAGUUCUUUAUGAUUUGUCUGUUUACAAUUCAUUUUGCUUCUUUCUAUUGAUUUUUUUGAGGGGGGCUUUGGCUUCUUUCUGUUGAUUGUAAUGUUUUAUUGAUGAUCAUUCUCAUUGAGAGAAUUACUUACUGGAUAUAGCUUACAGCUGGUUUCCAUGGGAUGUUGAAAUGCAAUGGAGAUUGCUUCUUUUUUAUCUCUCACCAUGUUUGGGAAUAAAAGCAAACCAAUUUGCAUGUUUUGCAGGUUCAUCGACAAUGUUCCAGUUUUCCUGCUAAUUGCUUGUGACAAUCUCAAUCCUUUCGUACAAAAAUUUAUUCACUCAGUUUGAAAUAUCGACACAGAAAAAUAGAAAUCUAGUGGUCCUAUUGUACGUGUGGACGACUGUACAAUUGUUUUCUGUGAUAUAAAAUAAUUUUGGGGCUAUGUUUAUAUUAUGAAAGAUGCAAUUUCUCUGUGGCUGUUGUACGACUGUGAAGAAAUUAUUUCAUAUUUGCUCUUCGAUUAGACCAGAACUGUAAGAUUCUGAUCAUAAAGUUUGUGUGGCAGUAUUUGAUCAUAAAUGUCUUC